CGAUUUGUUUUUUACUCCUCGCAUCCAUCUCCUCCUUCCCCCCAAGCGAGCUAGGGUGGAGCCGCCGCCUCUCCGGCGUGCCCGCUGGUGCUCCGUCCACCCCUCUUCUUCAUCUUCUCCCCCAACCCCUACUCCUCCCAGGACCAACCGUGGUGGACGACAUGCCCGCCCGCGCUCCGUCCUCCCCUCUUCUCCAUCUUCUAUCCUCCCCUUCUCCCUCCUCCAUCCCUGUCCAGUCCCCACCUCCCCUCACCCCUACUCCCCACAGGCCCACGAGGAUCGAGCGUGCGCGGGCGGCGUUGGUGGACGAGUUGGGCGAUGCGUGGAGGACCUCAAGUACUGCCUCCCCUGCACCUCAAUCGUCGUCACGGCUACCAACUUCUUUGUCCCCCAAGUACUGGUUUUCAGCAGAUCCGGGCGAGGUAAUUAAAUGAUGUUGGAGGUUGUGAUGCAGCACAAGUAGCACAAGUUCAUCAUGUUCACUGCCCUUCAUUGAAUAUCAGGUUCAAUUUUCUUGAUUUUUUACUUGAGCUGUUACUCAUAGCAUUUUUUUAAUCUGGGUAUCAUAGAGUUGGUGUAGUUAAAUGAUGUAAGGGGAUAAGGAACAAAAUUGUGUAAGACGAUACUAACCUGUACUCAUAUUAGUCCAACAUUGUUGGAUAUUGCUUGGAGAUUUGCCCUUUUUAUAAGAAAUCAAAAACAGUCUGUAAUCUGGACGUGUACGAACAUUGCGUGAACAUUUUUCUGUUUAAAUUGGGCGUCCAAUCUCUGUAAGCUGGGUGUUGCCUGUACUUUAUAUUAGUCCAAUGUUUGCCAGUUCCUGGUUGAUUCCCUAUUUGAUGUGAAUCCAUGAACAAAUAAGUUUAUGAACAAGUUCCUGUUUGCUCCCUGUUUGAUUCAAGUCUGAAAGAUUCAUAGAUGCUACACUUCAGUUAUAAAUGCACAAAAAGUUAGGACUGAUAAUAUUAUGAAAGAAAUAUGUUCCAUCCGCCCCUACCCCUUGUAAAUAUAUAUUUAAAUGUGCAUGCCCACUUUGUCGGAACACCGCCCAAUGCUGGAAGACAAUCCGCCGUCCGACGGUGUUGCACAGUUCGCCGCAACUUUGUCGGCUGGUUCUUCACUUGAGACCAUCAGCCAUCGCCUAGACCGACUUCGCUGAAGGUAUCUCUUUUUCUUUGUGUAAAUUAUGAUGGAGCUAUGUUUACAGUGAUUUACAGCCAGGGUUUACUGAUGUUUAAACUAGAAAAAUUGAUUUGAGAAAGUAUUUAACGCAAUUGGUCUAUUGCCAUAGGCUCAAGCAAAGCACCUCUUCGAUCUGUACGAUUUGCCAUCUUGUUUCCUUUAUCAAACUAUCUGCAGCAAGUAGAAAUCUGAAUUGAUGCAAGCAAGUAGUAACCAUUAUGGCGGCACGGUAAACUUCUAAUGGUCCAUCCAGAAUAUCUUCCAGCAAUAUAUGUGAACAGAAAAAUGGUGACCUUUUGAAACAAUUAUAUGGUUCUAUAUAUCCAAAGGAAUUGACGCCAAUUAUUAUCCUGGAAAAGAGUGUUACCUGCCAUAGUGCUUCUUGCUGUAC